UUGUCGUCAGCUCGUGUCGUGAGAUGUUGGGUUAAGUCCCGCAACGAGCGCAACCCCUACGUUUAGUUGCUAACGCGUGAAGGCGAGCACUCUAGACGAACUGCCGUUGACAAAACGGAGGAAGGUGGGGAUGACGUCAAAUCAUCAUGCCCCUUAUGUUCUGGGCUACACACGUGCUACAAUGGCCGGUACAGACGGACGCAAAGCCGCGAGGUGGAGCAAAUCCUAAAAAGCCGGUCUCAGUUCGGAUUGCAGGCUGCAAUUCGCCUGCAUGAAGUCGGAAUCGCUAGUAAUCGCAGGUCAGCAUACUGCGGUGAAUACGUUCCCGGGCCUU
rnacentral:rRNA from 1 species